CCACGUGGUUUGACCUAAAGUGAAAGUGAAAGCGUUCUCUUCCAGCUGCUUGAUCAUCCUGCAGCGUCUUUCGCUCUCAUUUUCAGCUGCUGCAACACAAACAGCAAAGGAAACCACAAGAUGGGGAAUAAGCAAAGCUCAGGUGAGCCCAAGCCAGUCCACUCAGAUGGUGCAACAUCAACAAAACAUAAAAAGAAGCAGCUUGAGUGUGUCAGUACAGGUGAAACCUUUGGGGCAGACGAAGCUUUGAAGGAACAAGUUACCAGGAAGCUCAAGGAAAAAAUCCGCACCAAGAUACACCACCUCAUUGUUUUUUGUCCCAUCACGUCUCGUGUUGGCUCAGAUGUGGAAGCAGCCAUGGACAAAAUGAAAAAUGAUCAAGGAAUCAUUUUGGUUUUGAUGCACCACACCAGAGAUCCUGACUACUCAACUGCUGGGACAAAUUGGUCUGAAAAAAUUGAGAAUGUUAAGUUGGAUGUUCAUGUUCUGUUUCAUGAAUCUGUGCCGGGGUUGUUGAAAUGUUCACAAAAUCAUAAUGCAGUGGAUCAAAUUGUUGAAUUUUUAAAACAAAAGAAAAAGAGAGUAGGCAAGACCAGCCAAAGCAAAACUGAAGAAAUGAAAGACAAGAGUAAAUUAAAAAAUAACAGUAAAAAGAAAGAUCAAACUACAGAGAAGACUCGUUUUCCAUGGGGGUCACGUUCCAAAAAGAAACCGUGAUAAGCGACAUCCGCGAAGUAGGAACCUUUAUUUUUUUUAACAGUUAUUUUACAAACAAAU